rnacentral:rRNA from 1 species
GAUGAACGCUGGCGGCGUGCUUAACACAUGCAAGUCGAACGAUGAAGCCCAGCUUGCUGGGUGGAUUAGUGGCGAACGGGUGAGUAACACGUGAGUAACCUGCCCUUAACUCUGGGAUAAGCCUGGGAAACUGGGUCUAAUACCGGAUAGGAGCGUCCACCGCAUGGUGGGUGUUGGAAAGAUUUAUCGGUUUUGGAUGGACUCGCGGCCUAUCAGCUUGUUGGUGAGGUAAUGGCUCACCAAGGCGACGACGGGUAGCCGGCCUGAGAGGGUGACCGGCCACACUGGGACUGAGACACGGCCCAGACUCCUACGGGAGGCAGCAGUGGGGAAUAUUGCACAAUGGGCGCAAGCCUGAUGCAGCGACGCCGCGUGAGGGAUGACGGCCUUCGGGUUGCAAACCUCUUUCAGUAGGGAAGAAGCGAAAGUGACGGUACCUGCAGAAGAAGCACCGGCUAACUACGUG